rnacentral:rRNA from 1 species
UACAGAGGGGGCGAGCGUUAUUCGGAAUUAUUGGGCGUAAAGGGCGCGUAGGCGGCCUUUCAAGUGACGGGUGAAAUCCCUCGGCUUAACCGAGGAACUGCCUGUCAGACUGGAAGGCUUGAGACCGGGAGAGGUGAGUGGAAUUCCCAGUGUAGCGGUGAAAUGCGUAGAUAUUGGGAGGAACACCAGUGGCGAAGGCGGCUCACUGGACCGGUACUGACGCUGAGGCGCGAAAGCGUGGGGAGCAAACAGG